rnacentral:rRNA from 1 species
GACGAACCGUCCAAACGUUAUUCGGAAUCACUGGGCUUACAGAGUUCGUAGGCGGUCUGGAAAGUUGGGUGUGAAAUCCCUCGGCUCAACCGGGGAACUGCGUCUGAUACUGGAUGGCUUGAAUUCGGGAGAGGGAUGCGGAAUUCCAGGUGUAGCGGUGAAAUGCGUAGAUAUCUGGAGGAACACCGGUGGCGAAGGCGGCAUCCUGGACCGAGAUUGACGCUGAUGCGCGAAAGCCAGGGGAGCAAACGGG